rnacentral:rRNA from 1 species
GAUGAACGCUGGCGGCGUGCCUAAUACAUGCAAGUCGAGCGAACAGACGAGGAGCUUGCUCCUCUGACGUUGGCGGCGGACGGGUGAGUAACACGUGGAUAACCUACCUAUAAGACUGGGAUAACUUCGGGAAACCGGAGCUAAUACCGGAUAAUAUAUUGAACCGCAUGGUUCAAUAGUGAAAGACGGUUUUGCUGUCACUUAUAGAUGGAUCCGCGCCGCAUUAGCUAGUUGGUAAGGUAACGGCUUACCAAGGCAGCGAUGCGUAGCCGACCUGAGAGAGGGAUCGGCCACACUGGAACUGAGACACGGACCAGACUCCUACGGGAGGCAGCAGUAGGGAAUCUUCCGCAAUGGGCGAAAGCCUGACGGAGCAACGCCGCGUGAGUGAUGAAGGUCUUCGGAUCGUAAAACUCUGUUAUGAGGGAAGAACAAAUGUGUAAGUAACUAUGCACGUCUUGACGGUACCUAAUCAGAAAGCCACGGCUAACUACGUG